ensembl:ncRNA F16F9.18 ncRNA
ACAAACAUUUUCAUUAUUAUUAUUAUUUAGUCAUCACCUCUCAACACGCACACAUUCAUUUUUCGUGUACGCCCGUCUUUUUCACUUUUUAAAUCCGGAAAAGACGAAAAGACGCUUGAAAUAUGCAAAUAAUAGUGGGGA